AUGGGUGUAGCUCAGCCUGCUAGAGUACUGCGUUUGGGACACUGAGUCGGGGGUUAACGUCCUCUCACCCCGACCA
rnacentral:tRNA from 1 species